AUUGAACGCUGGCGGCAGGCCUAACACAUGCAAGUCGAACGAGUGGCGGACGGGUGAGUAAUGUCUGGGAAACUGCCCGAUGGAGGGGGAUAACUACUGGAAACGGUAGCUAAUACCGCAUACCAUCGGAUGUGCCCAGAUGGGAUUAGCUAGUAGGUGGGGUAACGGCUCACCUAGGCGACGAUCCCUAGCUGGUCUGAGAGGAUGACCAGCCACACGGGAACUGAGAAACGGUCAAGACCCCUACGGGAGGCAGCAGUGGGGAAUAUUGCACAAUGGGCGCAAGCCUGAUAGAGCCAUGCCGCGUGUGUGAAGAAGGCCUUCGGGUUGUAAAGUACUUUCAGCGAGGAGGCGUUACUCGCAGAAGAAGCACCGGCUAACUCCGUGCCAGCAGCCGCGGUAAUAC
rnacentral:rRNA from 1 species